CAGAAAGGAACAUAUCAAAAUUCUGUUUAGAAACGAAAAUCCUUGGAGAAGAGAAUAUCUUCUUCGUCCCAACAGAAACACAGAAAUCGAAUUCAACUAUGAAUCUUUAUGCUCACGACCUCUCUCUUUUCGACUUUGCUAAUUUCUCUGAUCCCGUCAUCGACUCCAUCUCCUUCUCUGACCACCAUGGUCUCCCCAGUUCAUCUUCAUCGUCCAAUUCCUUGAUCGUUGGAUAUCAUGAUAAAGAUGAGCAUGAUGAUACGAGUAAUGGGGAUCAAAUCAAUGGUAAAUUAGUUAUUCCCAAGCCUAAGAGCCCGCCAAGGCACCGCCAUGAUGGUACCUCUCCUAUGCCUUUGGGGAUGGACUGGAGUCUCCCUCCUCGCAAAUGGGAUGGACGGGAUACUAUUUGGCCACAUGAUCCUCAUACUGGAUGGAGUUACUGUGUUACAGUUCCUUCUUGGAUUCUUCUACCAAAGUCAAGAGGUUCAGAUCCUGUUGCGUUUUACAGAGUCCAAGUUGGUAUACAAUCGCCAGAAGGGAUAUCCACCACUCGAGGGAUUUUGCGAAGAUAUAGUGAUUUCUUAAACCUACUUUCUGAACUUAAAAAAGCAUUUCCUGAGAAAACUCUGCCUCUAGCUCCUCCAAAGAAGAUUUUGAGAAGGAAAAGCAGGACAUUGCUGGAAGAGCGAAGAUGUUCUUUGGAGGAUUGGAUGGAAAAGCUAUUAUCAGAUAUUGAUGUAUCUAGAAGUGCUCCCGUUGGAACGUUUCUUGAACUAGAAGCUGCUGCUAGGUUAUUUUUUGAUAAUGCAAAUCAACAAAACAUAGAUGCAAAUGCUUCUGCCAGCAACAUAGUUCCAGCAGCUCUAUUACAAGCCAACUCAGAUGUUUCUGUGUUGGAUUGUAGUUUGUCAAUCGCAUCAGAUAAUGGCAAUGAUUCUCCUGAGAUAUCAGAGUUUGGAACUCCGAGGACUGCAAAAGACAGCAUUGUUGAUUUUGGCAUGGAGACUUCAACUUCUGAACAAAAUGUAACUGAUCCUAUGGAAACAACUGUUAAAUAUGGUAUAUUUAACAAGAAAUCUAUCAUGGGGAACCUUGAAAAUUUUUCAUGGCGGAAAAUGCGUACUGGAAGAGAGAAAAAUAUUGUAAAUGGAGAUAAACUUGCUGAGAACAUAUCUAGAGUUGCAUCUUUUCUUGGGGAUGGAAAUGAACCUUUGCAUGGACUAGAAUAUCAGAGAUUGGAUGGCCAUGUCCGUAGAUUAUCAACAGAAAGUAUUGGGAGUGACUUAAGUUCUUUAAGGGUGGGUAAUUUGUUUGGUGAUGAUUGCCUUGACCUUAUGGAGGGUGCUGAAACUCACAAAAUAAAUGAUGCUCCUGUAAGCUUAAAUUCACAGUUCCCGAGGGACAUACUAGUUGCCCUUCUAUCAGAUGAGCGCCAUAAGUUGAGUAGGGUUCUUAACACCAUGCAACAGAGACUAGCUACAGCUAAAACAGACAUGGAGGACCUAAUAGCCAGAUUAAAUCAAGAAGUUGCUGUUAGGCAAUUUCUGACAACAAAGGUUAAAGAUUUGGAAGUGGAUCUUGAGAUUACUAGAAAUAAUUGUAAAGAAAACAUGCAACAAGCUGUUUUGAUUGAAAGGGAAAGAUUUACUCGGAUGCAAUGGGAUGUGGAAGAACUCCGUAAGCAGUGUUUAGAGAUGAAGCUGAAAUUGAUAUCUGAACAGGUCUAUUUUCUACAAGUAACAUUUUUUUCUAUGUUCUUUAUGAUGAGUAUUUGUGAAAGACGUGUGAGGAUGUUUCAGGAUGAAAGGGCACUUACUGAGUCUGCAAAAGUCUCUAUGAUUCAGGAGAAUAAAAUGUUGCUACAGCAGUUGAAUGUUGCUAGAGAAGAGCUUGAAAACUUGCAUAAGCAUCAUGAAGAGUUGGAGCUGAAGUCAAAAGCAGAUGUAAAGCUUCUUGUUAAGGAGGUGAAAUCUCUUCGGAGUUCGCAGUCGGAUCUGAAACAGGAGCUUAGUGGCUUGGUGAAAGAAAAAAUAGAAGUGGAGAGGGGUCUUCGAAAUGAAAAACAAAGAAUGCAAGUUGUGACUGCUGCCAAUGUUAAGUUGUUGCAUGAGUGAAAUUCUUCGCAAUAGGCUUGAAGAAUGUAGUGUUAAUUUCCUCGUUGAAGAGGAAGAUAAACUGAUUGUGGACACUUCUUCGCCAUCUGAUGCCAUGGAUUUGUUAACAACAUCUGAUAAUCGAAUUGGACUUCUUCUUGCAGAGGCACAGCUCCUUGCACAAGAUGUAGAAAAUUCCGUGGCAAGAUUGGACGAAACUUGCAAUACAAAUGGCAGUGAUAGAGUUGAUGAUGAGUUGAGGAAGUUGCUUACAGAAGUAUUCGUUGAUAAUGCCAGAUUGAGAAUGCAAGUCAAUUCAGUGAUUCGCUGUGCUUUAAAUGCACGUUUGAAGUCAGAUGAAGAUGAAGAUGAUGAUGAGAUUCGAUACCUUGAAAAGGUCAAAACAUCUAAGAUCACUGCUGAUUAUGGUGCAGAAUAUGAAGACGAACAGGAAGAAAGAAGUAGGAAACAGCGGAAGAUAUCAAAGGUAUUGAAAAGAAAUGUUGGUGGUCUAUAUGAUGCAGAUGUUGGAGAUCAUAGCUCAUCUAGAUUUGGCAAGGAGAUUAAGAAGAGUAAAUCAGGGAGAGUAUCUGAUGAUACUGACUAUGUGGAAGAGGAAGAGCCAGGGUCUGAUGGUGAGCCAACAACAAAGAGGAAGAAACCGAGAAAAGAAUUAGUUGAUUUAAUGGAAGAUUCUAAGAAAGAAAUGACAGUUACCACACGUCAACGUGCACUUCAAACUGGCAAAGAUGGCUCCUCCAGUUUUGGUGCUAGUUUAAUCGAGUUCCCAAAUGGGUUGCCUCCAGCUCCUCCUAAAAAGCAAAAAGAGAAACUCACUGAAGUGGAGCAGCAAUUGAAGAGAGCUGAGGCUCUUCAAAGACGUAGGAUGCAAGUGGAAAGGGCAGCUAGGGAAUCAGAGGUUUGCGCUGUUUUUUGUGUGUGUGUGUUUGAACACUGGGUUUAUGUCUCUGUAAUUUCUUUUUGGGGAAUUACUAUUUAAUGCCUAUAUAUUGCCAUUAUUCACUAGUCGGUCUCUCUAGUUUGAAAAUUAGAAUAGUUGGUUCUUGUAGUUUAAUUCCUUUAAAUCAUAAGUUCUUUCUAUUCAUUUUAGUGUCAUUUUACAGUUAAUGCUUAGUAAGAAGACUUCAUUACCCUUGCAAUCAAAUCAAAUUUACCAAAUUCCAAAUCCAGCAGCUCUCUUCUCCUUUCCUUUUCUUUCUCACUCUGAUUGUCACUCUCCUCCUUAGUUCAUCAUCCUCGCCCCAAAAAUCUGAAAUCAAAAUAAAGAUAAGCUAAACAACUAAACCCAGUCAAUAGGAAUCAGAAUAAACAACAAAUCCACAACAAACCCAAAAUGAAAAAGAGAAUUAUUAGAGAAAAACAAUUAUGAACUCCCAAUUGAAUUAUAUGAUCCUUUAGGCAUCUUAGAACACAAAGAGUGCAUGGGAAAAUUUGAUAUUUUCAUAAAUUCUCAAUUGAAAACACACACAAAAGGAACAACAGAACCAAGAUUAUUAUUAUCAUCAUUGCACCUAAGUACCUUAAAAUCACAAAUUGUGGGAAAUCAAGAGUGAAUCCCUCUCCAUCUUACCCAAUUUCUCUGCAGCCAAAUAGAACCAAACUAGCAAAAAAGAAAAGGGGAAAUUCAAAUGAAAACACAACCUUGUAGAAAGGACCAAUGUGUUGUUCGUUGCCGUAAGUUCUGAUUCUUCUGAAGUUUCUCAUGACUGUUUCUUUGAUGAAAAGCCUUGUGGCUCUUAAAGACCCUAAAGCUCCCCCUAAGUUGAACUAGGUAGCCAUGACUGUAUGAGAGUUAGGAGAAGGAAAUAGAGACUAUGAGAGAGUUGGUGAAAUGCGAGGGAAGGCCUGUGGCUGCAAGACAAGGAGCAUGUAGGUGGGGCAAAGUAGGUUUUAUGAGAGUCUCUCAUUAGACCUACUUUUUCCAUUGACUAGCGAUAAAAUGGCGCUAAAAUGGAUGAAAGGAUCUUAUGGUUUAAUGGAAUUAAACUAUGGGAACAAAUUAAUUCAAUUUUCAAAAUAGAGGAAUUAACUAGUGAAUAACAGCGUACCUAGACUACGUACAUAGUAAUUGUCCAUUUCUUUUUCUUCCUCAUAAAUUGCACACUUGUGGAGCCAUUAUUAACUUUGACGUAAAAUCUUAGGCGGAGGCAAUCAGAAAAAUACUUGGCCAAGAUUCCAGUAGGAAGAAGCGAGAAGAUAAAAUGAAGAAACGGCAAGAAGAAUUAGCUCAGGAGAAGGCUGCAAAUGCCAUGAUUCUUACAUCAGACCAUGUUAGAUGGGUCAUGGGUCCUUCAGGAACAGUCGUAACAUUCCCCAAUGAGAUAGGCUUGCCAAGUAUAUUUGACCCCAAGCCUUG
rnacentral:misc_RNA from 1 species